GGAGGUUAGUGCAAUGGCAUAAGCCAGCUUGACUGCGAGCGUGACGGCGCGAGCAGGUGCGAAAGCAGGUCAUAGUGAUCCGGUGGUUCUGAAUGGAAGGGCCAUCGCUCAACGGAUAAAAGGUACUCCGGGGAUAACAGGCUGAUACCGCCCAAGAGUUCAUAUCGACGGCGGUGUUUGGCACCUCGAUGUCGGCUCAUCACAUCCUGGGGCUGAAGUAGGUCCCAAGGGUAUGGCUGUUCGCCAUUUAAAGUGGUACGCGAGCUGGGUUUAGAACGUCGUGAGACAGUUCGGUCCCUAUCUGCCGUGGGCGCUGGAGAACUGAGGGGGGCUGCUCCUAGUACGAGAGGACCGGAGUGGACGCAUCACUGGUGUUCGGGUUGUCAUGCCAAUGGCACUGCCCGGUAGCUAAAUGCGGAAGAGAUAAGUGCUGAAAGCAUCUAAGCACGAAACUUGCCCCGAGAUGAGUUCUCCCUGAGACUUAGAGUCUCCUGAAGGAACGUUGAAGACGACGACGUUGAUAGGCCGGGUGUGUAAGCGCAGCGAUGCGUUGAGCUAACCGGUACUAAUGAACCGUGAGGCUUAACCUUACAACGCCGAAG
rnacentral:rRNA from 2 species